rnacentral:lncRNA from 1 species
UCAGCAGAGUGCCCAUUUCUACAAGAUACCAACUCGGACUCUUGGAAGCAGUCAUGCAAGUCGUCGUCGUCCGUCGUCCCCCCCGCCCCCCGCCCCACCGCGACCCCUCUCUAUUGCUAGUUCCCAUCCUCACCCCUAUUUCUCUAUCUUCCAUCACAAUCAGCAAUAAUGACUUUUUACGGCGACCAUAAAAGUAUACCGAACGUCCUUGUUUUAAAAAUACGAAAACUAACUUGGACUGAAGAAUGACUUGUUCAAGGUCACAUAACCAAUCAGAAGCAGUACAAAUACCAGCACAAAUCGGCUUCUUCGGUCCCAUGCUGUCUCUAAAGAGAAAACGACAUUCACAACACAGUGCGUAGUUUCUUAUUCAUGAUGGGCUAGUUAUGGGCUAGCUAUAUACGGAUUACCUAUAUGCAUAUAUAUGUAUUCUGAGGUCAAUUGAAUAAACAAGGGAUAAAACGCACCUGGAGCACUGGAGCAUUGUAAGCACUAUAUUAACCUCAAAGGUAUCAAAUUAUUGUGUCGAAAACAGCAAAGCUGGAGCCUGGACCCAGUGCCUCGGCCAUGAUUGGGACGGAUUGUUUACGGGAUCAGAAGGUAGACAGGAAGGAGUCCCGCCAGCCCGCCUCCCUCCCGCCUCGCAGCCUCCCUCUAGCGCCCCCUAGCUUCCGCCCGAACAGACCCAGCGGCCAGGGAACCGGCGGGAAGCGUGGUUCGCAGAGUUGCAGCCGCGGCGGCGGCGCAAAGUACCAUCACAGAGCAGAGCAUAGAAGGUUCCUUCAGUUAGAGCGCUCCUAAAGAUAGUGUUUCUACAAGCUGGCCCUGGGAGGACAUAAAGUUAAGGCCUUUGGGUGAUAAAGGUAAGACAAGAGGAAGAAGUUCAAUCUGUAUGGCUGAGUUUCAUGGGUUCAUUCAUUCACUCAUUCAUCAAAUAUAUCAAGUACACCUAAGUGCCCAGCGCCAUGCUUUGACCUACA